GGACCUCACUGUAUCUGACAAUCGAUUGUCAAAUAUAGACAAUCGAUUGUUGGUCAUUUUUGGAAAAUUCUGGACCUCACUGGAUAAGACAAUCGAUUGUCAAAUAGACAAUCGAUUGUUGAUCACUUUUUGAAAAAUUCGUUAUAAAGACAAUCGAUUGUUCAUCAUUGACAAUCGAUUGUUUUGCAGUUUUAUGCGACAUGAGAUAACCGACUAGUUUUUCAGG
rnacentral:lncRNA from 1 species